rnacentral:rRNA from 1 species
UAGGGAAUAUUGCACAAUGGGCGAAAGCCUGAUGCAGCAACGCCGCGUGCGCGAUGAAGGCCUUCGGGUCGUAAAGCGCUUUUCGGGGAGAUGAGGAAGGACAGUAUCCCCGGAAUAAGGCUCGGCUAACUACGUGCCAGCAGCCGCGGUAAAACGUAGGAGCCAAGCGUUAUCCGAAUUCACUGGGCGUAAAGCGUGUGCAGGCGGUGCGAUAAGUUGGAUGUGAAAUCUCCUGGCUCAACUGGGAGAGGCCGUUCAAUACUGUCGGACUAGAGGGCAACAGAGGGAGGUGGAAUUCCCGGUGUAGUGGUGAAAUGCGUAGAUAUCGGGAGGAACACCAGUGGCGAAAGCGGCCUCCUGGGUUGUACCUGACGCUCAGACACGAAAGCUAGGGGAGCGAACG